AACGAACGCUGGCGGCAGGCUUAACACAUGCAAGUCGAACGAGAUCUUCGGAUCUAGUGGCAGACGGGUGAGGAACACGUGGGAACAUCCCUUUCAGUUCGGAAUAACGUUGGGAAACUAACGCUAAUACCGGAUACGUCCUUCGGGAGGAAGAUUUAUCGCUGAAAGAUUGGCCCGCGUCUGAUUAGCUAGUUGGUGAGGUAAUGGCUCACCAAGGCUACGAUCAGUAGCUGAUCUGAGAGGAUGAUCAGCCACAUUGGGACUGAGACACGGCCCAGACUCCUACGGUAGGCAGCAGUGGGGAAUAUUGGACAAUGGUCGCAAGCCUGAGCCAGCCAUGCCGCGUGAGUGAUGACGGCCUUCGGGUUGUAAAGCUCUUUUGUCCGGGAAGAUAAUGACUGUACCGGAAGAAUAAGCCCCGGCAAACUUCGUGCCAGCCGCCGCCGUAAGAC
rnacentral:rRNA from 1 species